AGGACGAACGCCGGCGGCGUGCUUAACACAUGCAAGUCGAGCGGAAAGGCCCUUCGGGGUACUCGAGCGGCGAACGGGUGAGUAACACGUGAGCAACCUGCCCUUAGCUCCGGGAUAGCUCCGGGAAACCGGAAUUAAUACCGGAUAUGACCUAGGCCGACAUCGGCUGUGGUGGAAAGUUUUUCGGCUGGGGAUGGACUCGCGGCCUAUCAGCUUGUUGGUGGGGUAAUGGCCUACCAAGGCGACGACGGGUAGCCGGCCUGAGAGGGCGACCGGCCACACUGGGACUGAGACACGGCCCAGACUCCUACGGGAGGCAGCAGUGGGAAUCUUGCGCAAUGGGCGAAAGCCUGACGCAGCGACGCCGCGUGGGGGAUGAAGGCCUUCGGGUUGUAAACCCCUUUCAGCAGGGACGAAGCGAAGUGACGGUACCUGCAGAGAAGCGCCGGCUAACUACGCGCCAGCAGCCGC
rnacentral:rRNA from 1 species